rnacentral:misc_RNA from 1 species
GAAUCUCCUUGGAAUAUCUACAAGACAUACCAGGCAUGCUCAGAAUAAUAUACAAAUACCAUUUAGUGGAGCAGUAUAAUGUAUUCAGAAUUUGGAUGGAAGAAAAUUAAAAAAAAAAUGCUGAAAUACAGAGCUUUUAAGGAAUUAGUUAACAUAUAAAUUGUAAAUAACACCUAAUUAAAUUUGUCCGGAUAAUGUCUUUAUGAUUGUCAUGCCACUCAUUCAGUUUCAAGUUUCAACCAAGCUUGAAAUUGUUGACAGAAACUGAUUCUUUAAUGGAUGCAAAAAUUAUGAUGCUUCAAUCUAUAAAAACAGAAACGAUCAACCACACAUAAGAUUUCACCAAUUUAAACUGUAUAAUAUGAUAAAAUACUAGUGGAGUUUGGCACAGCUGGGAGUUUCAAGAGGCUGCUGAUGAGAAAACAAAUAUUUUUCACAUGCAUGACACAGUUUUUUUUCUUCG